UUAAACUCCCCCAUAGGACAGGCUUCGCCUAGUUUGGGGGACCGUUAUUUGUUAAAAUGUUUGUAAAAUUAUCAUGGUGAAUAAAGACAUUUGUAUUUGUAGAUAUUUGAACGUG